UGCCUAAUACAUGCAAGUCGAACGCUGUAGCAAUACAGAGUGGCGCACGGGUGAGUAACACGUGGAUAAUCUCCCAUUGAGUGGGGAAUAACCUUUCGAAAGAAGGGCUAAUACCGCAUAAGACCACAGGAACAUAUGUUCAAGGGGUCAAAGGGGGGCGUAAGCCUCUCGCUUAAUGAUGAGUCCGCGCCCGAUUAGCUAGUUGGUAGGGUAAUGGCCUACCAAGGCAUUUAUCGGUAACUGGUCUGAGAGGAUGACCAGUCACACUGGAAGUGAGACACGGUCCAGACUCCUACGGGAGGCAGCAGUAGGGAAUAUUGCGCAAUGGGGGAAACCCUGACGCAGCGACGCCGCGUGAGUGAUGAAGGCCUUCGGGUCGUAAAGCUC
rnacentral:rRNA from 1 species